rnacentral:pre_miRNA from 1 species
CAUAUACUCCCUCCGUCCGAAAAUACUUGUCAUCAAAAAGAAUAAAAAGGGAUGUAUCUAGAUGUAUUUUAGUUCUAGAUACAUCUCUUUUCAUCCAUUUUGAUGACAAGUAUUUCCGGACGGAGGGAGUAGUUG